rnacentral:rRNA from 1 species
UACGUAGGUGGCAAGCGUUGUCCGGAUUUACUGGGCGUAAAGAGCGCGCAGGCGGUCGAAUAUGUCGAAUGUGAAAGCCCCCGGCUUAACUGGGGAGGGUCAUUCGAUACUGCUCGACUUGAAGGCAGGAGAGGGUAGUGGAAUUCCCGGUGUAGUGGUGAAAUGCGUAGAUAUCGGGAGGAACACCAGUGGCGAAGGCGACUACCUGGCCUGUUCUUGACGCUGAGGCGCGAAAGCUGGGGGAGCAAACGGG